UGGCGUGCCCUGUCUGCAAUCCUGCCUUUCAGUAAGGGGCAGUAAGGACAAGAUCCACCCACCACCCAGUGCAUGCUACAUAUGUGUGUGUAAUAAAUUGAGAGGGAAAGUGUGUGUGAUAAAUGAAAUUUAAUAAAGUAAGUAAAAUUUUGAA